GAAGAAGAUGAUUUUUCACCUAGUGGAGUCAUUGAACAGUGGUCUUCAAAUUGGGAUUAUUUCCAAGAAUAGAUUAAAAUGCCAUGAAAAAGAAAAAAUUAUAGAAAAGCAAAAAGAGCUGAAUGCAGUGAAUGAACAUCUGUGAAUGAAGUUGAGAAGGUAUAUGUGGGGCAGACUAGAAUUGCAGUGCACAGAUACAAGAAUGUUGCCUGCUUUGGAGCCAAGACUGCCUUCCGGAUAAAGGGCCCACAGAGAGCUGAGAGCUGUGUAAUACCUCAAAGACUGAAGAAAAGAGUUAGACAGCCAUCUUUCCUUAGAGGAUUUUGCUGCAGACAGCUUGAACUACCAGAAGGUUAUAUACUGACCAUGGGUAGAGUAAGGAAGAAAUACAUCCUUCGGAAAGGACAAUGAAGAUCUUUACAGCAGGGAGGUGAGGACAAAGUGAUUCUCCCUUCUGGAGGAUGCAGCAAAGUGCUGCCUGCCAUCUUGGAAGCACAGAGUAGCCUUCACCACACUCUAAUCCCAUCAGAGCCUUGAUCUUGGACUUGCCAGCCUUCAGAACAGUCUUGCCUCAUCACUGCCAUGACAGGGGGGUCCAAUGUGAGGAUUCUGGUGUCUAUGCCAAGCAUCUCUUUUCCAACGUAGAUCUGAUUUCUUAACAUAGCCAACAGCAAGUCAACAUCAGCUUUGCAGAGAAAAGCAGGGAUGCGUGUGCACAAAGAAAAGGCCAUGUGAGGACAUAGCAAGAGGGAAGCUGUCCGCAAGCCAAGGAAAAAGGCCUCAGGAGAAACCAAAUCUGCCAAUACAUUGAUCUUGGACUUCCAGCAUUCAGAAAUGUAUGUGAAAAUUAAGGACAGAUCCUAUGCUGACCUGAUAAACAAAGAUAGCUCUUUCGAGCUCAAUGUACAUUGAGUGUAACAAGAGGGAAGGAGGGAGGAAACCACUGCCCAUUUGGGAUUCCUUCAAAUUCACAUCUCUCCAAAAUGGGAGACUUGUAUUUUCUGACAUUCAACUUAAUCGAAGAAUAAAGCUUUAACAGUGGCAUCAGUGACAUGAUGAAUGAUGCAUCAUUUUGAAGUAAUAAUGGUUUUCCCAGUGACUCAGAAAUAGCAGUAUGUUCAGAUUCAGUGUGCCUGUUCAUGAGAGCUCUGCAGAAAUUGCACAUCUGGCUCUUUGCCUGUGCACCUGAAGUUAUCUCAGGAGAAAUUAUACAAAUUAAAUACAGACACAGAGAAGGUCUUUUUUAAUUCAAAGGAAAAGAAUAUAUAUUCAAGAAAAGCAAAAAAGGUGGAAGUUGGGCCUUUGGUCAUUAAUUCUCUCUCUCUCUCUUGCUAAUUUUUGCAAAUAGGGAGAACUUGGAACAUCUGCCAAAAUUUUUAUUUUGUGCUUUAUUUUGGCUACCUGUUUAUUCCAUAGAACUAUGACUUGUCCUGGUGAUUCAGGCUUACUCCUUAAUUUCUGAACUGAUUGCCAGAGAGUCAGGGAUAUACACAUACAUUAUA
rnacentral:lncRNA from 1 species